GUAGGCAGCUUAUGUCGGCUUCGGUCAACCCCUUAGGAAAAUUUGUCCUUUCCCUUUAUGUACGAACUACGUUUGACCUGAAUUCCCAAGAAAGGGAUACGUUGGCGGCCUAUGUCAGCUUCGGUCAACCCCUUAGGAAAAUUUGUCCUUUCCCUUUAUGUACGAACUACGUUUGACCUGAAUUUCCAAGAACGGGAUACGUAGGCGGCCUAUGUCAGCUUCGGUCAACCCCUUAGGAAAAUUUAUUCUUUUCCUUUAUGUACGAACUACGUUUGACCUGAAUUUCUAAGAAAGGGAUACGUAGGCGGCCUAUGUCGGCUUCGGUCAACCCCUUAGGAAAAUUUGUCCUUUCCCUUUAUGUAUAACUGUGUUUGACCUGAAUUCCCAAGAACGGGAUACGUAGGCGGCCUAUGUCGGCUUCGGUCAACCCCUUAGGAAAAUUUAUUCUUU
rnacentral:lncRNA from 1 species